ACUCCUACGGGAGGCAGCAGUAGGGAAUAUUGGACAAUGGGCGAAAGCCUGAUCCAGCAAUGCCGCGUGAGUGAUGAAGGUUUAUGGAUCGUAAAGCUCUGUCGUAUAGGAAUAAAUGCCUGUGGUUAAUACCCGCAGGAGCUGAAGGUACUAUACAAGAAAGCACCGGCUAACUACGUGCCAGCAGCCGCGGUAAUACGUAGGGUGCGAGCGUUAAUCGGAAUUACUGGGCGUAAAGCGCGUGUAGGUGGCUUGUUAAGCCAGAUGUGAAAGCCCCGGGCUCAAGCCUGGGAACUGGCAUUUGGAACUGGCAGGUCUAGAGUUUUGUAGAGGGUUGGUAGAAUUUCGAGGUG
rnacentral:rRNA from 1 species